AGUGGUUAAAGCGUUCGCUCGUCACGCCGAAGACCCGGGUUCGAUUCCCCACAUGGGUACUAAGUGUGAAACCCAGUUCUGGCAUCCCCUGCCGUGAUAUUGCUGGAAUAUUGCUAAAAGCGGCAUAAACCUAAACUCACUCACUACUAGCUUAGACAGUUAAUGAUGUUUUAGUGUCCAUUGAACAGUUGUUUCCUUUGAUGGGUGUACUGUUUGUGAAAUCGGGUGGUCAGACUCGCGGACUUGGUUGACACGUCAUCGGUUCCCAAUUGUGCUGAUCGAUGCUCAUGCUGUUGAUCACUGGAUUGUCUGGUCCAGACUCGAUUAUUUACUGACCGCUGCCAUAUAGCUGGAAUAUUGCUGAGUGCAGCGUAAAACUAAACUCACUCACUCACUCACUCACUCACUCACUGUUUGUGAAAGGGCUGGAAAUUCAGAUUUAGACAUGGCCAUGUAUCUUUAAUUCCCCAACUCAUACUUUUUCCUCCCAGAUAAAGCUAAGGUGCAGUGACAUACAGUUUGAAGCAGCAUAAAACUACAUUCUCUCACUUCACAGUGACUCACCUUAUAGUCAGCCAGUGUCAGAUUUACUCUCUGAUUUCCCAACAUCUUAAACUGGCCAAUCACAUGUAUGGUCUUAUUCUUUUCUUAUGGUGAUUGGCUAGUGUCAGUGGACCUAGUGUGUUGCCAUGGUUACUGGGAAUCUACUAACCAAUAGUCAGUGAGAUGCUUGACCCAUAACAGUAACUUCAUUUGUUAAUAUCAAUCAAUUCUCAAAACUUCACUUCCUUUUUGAAGGGAUUAAUUCACCAGAAUGACCUUUUGUGAUUUGAAUUUUACAAAUGCAUAUUAAGCUUGGAUUUGUUUCCCAAUUGGUAGUGACCUUGGUAAUGAGGUAACAUUCACAGCAGGUUUUCAGAUUUCGUAACAAAUGCCAUUUCUGUCUUGUUUUCCUUACUUAUCUUUGUCUUAUCUCAUUUUCUUUUUUAUAUUUUUUGAGACUUGAAAAAGUCUUGUUGCGGUUCAGCAUUUAGUAGCUGGUACAAUCAUUGGUCACACACCCAGCAUCUGACUCGCUGCUUCUAGAACAAUACUGCACCCUUGUGCCAUCACUUGUAUAAACACACUGUCCUAUAUAGCUGAAACAUUGCUGACACGGCCCCUGGCACUAAAUCACUCUAUCAAAGUAAACCCAUCAUUUCAAAGUCUUCAUCAAAUUCACGUUAUUUCAAGAAGUUAAUAUCAUAAAAUUUGGAAUAAUUAGUUUUCUACACCAUACUGACAUUUAUUUAUACUACUAAACGUUUGCUAAGCAUGAGAUCAGCUUUAAUGAAAGGUGGGAUCCUUGGCUGAUGUUGAGUAGUAUAUACCUAUAGUUAUUCUAGCUGUUACAUUAUAAGCUUUUUUCAUAAAAAAACAUUCUUCAGAAUCAUGAAUCGGAAGACAAAUUUUUGUUGAGUUUAUAUUUUGAAAAAAAUCAGCCAAUGUCAUUGAUGCACAAGUAAAAUUGAAUUUCAUUUUACAUUUCAUUGUAUUUUUUUGAAAAAUUGAAAAAUAAGGAGUUAAUUGAAGUUGAAUUAUCCUUGGAUGGAGUAUCCAUCAUUGUGCAGCUAACAAAUCUGUUGAUGUAAACACUUAAAAUUCUGUUGUGGACAGUUUUGCUACAUCAUGAAGCUAACUGGACAUCUCAUAACACAACCCUCGAUAAUUGGAAUUACAUGUGUAGAUAGAGGUCAUUUCUCGGUCAACUGAAGGGACCAUCUCAAAUGUUUGGAGACCUGCAAAUGCUGUCAUGCCACUAAUCGAUCAACAAAACUUUUGAGAUGGUCCCUUUAUGAAAUCAAUCACCUCAUCACCGACGGAUACAUCAAUCUCGUAUGUCUUCGGGGCAAUAAUCAAAAGUAAAGUUAAAACCAAAUAUUCAUAUAAAAAUUCAUUGUUUGCUAAUUUAAAAUUUAAAAAAAUUUAAACUAACCUUUAUUAUUAUUGAAAUUAACCAAAUCAAGCUAUGUGUGGCUUGCCAUGGUUUGAAUCCUGGAAGCUAUCCUUGCAAAAACUGCCUACAUCUAACUCUUAUUCCUCUGGUUCAACGACCUUCAUCACACUGUCUUUCCCUCUGUUGCUCCUCCCUCAUCCCAUUCACACUAUCUCUCUAUCUCUACUGUAAGUGGAGUUGACUCAACUCCUCUCAACAUGAUGUUGUAUAUGUCUGUCAACCAUCAGUCAUUAAUUUAUAUAUAACGAUGUACGCUUAAUUGCUGUACAAUAAAUACCAGCAUAACA
rnacentral:lncRNA from 1 species